UGAACGCUGGCGGCAUGCCCUACACAUUGCAAGUCGAACGGCAGCACGGACUUCGGUCUGGUGGCGAGUGGCGAACGGGUUAAUACAUCGGAACGUGCCCAGUCGUGGGGGAUAACGUAGCGAAAGCUACGCUAAUACCGCAUACGAUCUAAGGAUGAAAGCGGGGGACCGUAAGGCCUCGCGCGAUUGGAGCGGCCGAUGGCAGAUUAGGUAGUUGGUGGGGUAAAGGCUCACCAAGCCGACGAUCUGUAGCUGGUCUGAGAGGACGACCAGCCACACUGGGACUGAGACACGGCCCAGACUCCUACGGGAGGCAGCAGUGGGGAAUUUUGGACAAUGGGGGCAACCCUGAUCCAGCAAUGCCGCGUGAGUGAAGAAGGCCUUCGGGUUGUAAAGCUCUUUAGUCAGGGAAGAAACAGCAGCUCUAACACAGUCUGCGAAUGACGGUACCUGAAGAAUAAGCACCGGCUAACUACGUGCCAACAGACGCGGCAAUACGUAGGGUGCGACCGAUAAUCGACAUAACUGGGCGUAACCG
rnacentral:rRNA from 1 species